rnacentral:tRNA from 1 species
GCCGAAGUGGUGGAACUGGUAGACACGUGGUGUUCAGGGCGCCAUGAGCUACGCGCUCGUGAGGGUUCGACUCCCUCCUUCGGCACCA